AACGCGAAGAACCUUACCAAGGUUUGACAUGGCCGGAAAAACAUCAGAGAUGGUGCGUCCUUCGGGGCCGGUCACAGGUGGUGCAUGGCUGUCGUCAGCUCGUGUCGUGAGAUGUUGGGUUAAGUCCCGCAACGAGCGCAACCCUCGUCCUAUGUUGCCAGCGGGUCAUGCCGGGGACUCAUGGGAGACUGCCGGGGUCAACUCGGAGGAAGGUGGGGAUGACGUCAAGUCAUCAUGCCCCUUAUGUCUUGGGCUGCAAACAUGCUACAAUGGCCGGUACAGAGCGCUGCGACACCGUGAGGUGAAGCGAAUCGCAUAAAGCCGGUCUCAGUUCGGAUCGGGGUCUGCAACUCGGCCCCGUGAAGCUGGAGUCGCUAGUAAUCGCGGAUCAGCAACGCCGCGGUGAAUACGUUCCCGGGCCUUGUACACACCGCUAGUC
rnacentral:rRNA from 1 species